GAUGAACGCUGGCGGCGUGCCUAAUACAUGCAAGUCGAGCGAACGGACGAUAAGCUUGCGUCUCUGAUGUUAGCGGCGGACGGGUGAGUAACACGUGGAUAACCCACCUAUAAUACUGGGAUAACUUCGGGAAACCGGAUCUAAUACCGGAUAAUAUUUUGAACCGCAGGGUUCAAAAGUGAAUGACGGUCUUGCUGUCACGAAUAGAUGGAUCCGCGCUGGAUGAGAUGGUUGGUAAGGUAACGGCUUACGAAGGCAACGAUGCGUAGCCGACCUGAGAGGGGGAUCGGCCACACGGGAACUGAGACACGGUCCAGAGUCCUACGGGAGGCAGCAGUAGGGAAUGUUCCGCAAUGGGCGAAAGCCUGACGCAGCAACGCCGCGUGAGUGAUGAAGGCCUUCGGAUCGUAAAGCUCUGUUAUUAGGGAAGAACAGAUGUGUAAGUAACUGUGGACAUAUUGACGGUACCUAAUAAAAAAGCACCGGCUAACUACGUG
rnacentral:rRNA from 1 species